UUACAGCCAGUUACCAGUAUAUUGAGUGACCCCUUGAUUCGAACGAAAAAAAUAUUUCUUCAGCAACACUUCUUUUGUUUAUUGAUUUUCAGUUGCUGUAUAGCAACCGUGUUAUGUGCACAAUACAAAUCCAAAACGUGCUCUGAACGGAUUAUCGGCAUCGUACGACUUUUCGUUUUCCUCCGUACGAGGAACCUGCAACGGUUGUGGAAACGAAAAACUGUAAUCCUUCAAAGUAUCCAUCAAUCGAGGUUUAGCGCAACAAGAAAAAGAAACGAAGGAACGAUAAAGUUCGCUCUCGUUCCGUUAGUCAGCAGCCUUGGUGCUAGAUACUGUACUCCGUAAAUCGGUAAUAAAUGCGGCUCCUUAUCGCCCAAAGUAUCGAACGAUGCAACGUUAUCAGAGUUGGAAUUGAAAAGAGCGGCGUGCCUACCGAAACUGAACGAAUAGUUGGACGAGUGAUCCCUGUGGGUACUGACAGCCAACUUUCUCUCAGCGAGUCGCACACUGAGCGGAAUCGCUACAUCCAUAUUAUAUGACAGUCAUAUAAUACAGCGCUAUUGGAAUUUCCAAUGAUUGCUAUAUUAGACUCUCAAUGGAAUAUCAAACUUAUAUGGUUAUCAUGUUAAAAGUUGCAUUCCUCUCAAAUUCAAUUCUAUUAGAUUUCCAUAUAACAUUUAAAUUCCAGUGUCAGACCCAAAUCUAUCAGCGCACUUUAUAAUAACUAUAUGAUAACUAUCAUAUUAAAAACAUUAGGUGAUCCUAUGAAA